CAGGGUAACACCUCAUUUCAGCCACAGCCAGCAGGAGAUGACUUUGAAUGCUGGUUAGAGCCUUUAGGCUUUAUCCAGAAAGCAAUAGGGAGCCAUGGGAGGCUUUAGAGCAAGGAAAUGGCAUGCUGCACUGAACCAUCACUGCCUCCGUUAGCAGUCCAGGGGGAGGCAACUAGACAGGGCCAUGUUCCAGGCCCCAUCGGGGACAGCCUGCCCUCUCCCCAUCCCUGCAGCAAGGCCAUGAGCAAGUCCAGCCGACACCCUGAAGCUGCCUCGGAGGAAGAAGAGCAGGGCGAGCCCAGAGAUCCCAUGCCCAAGGAAUUCUCUGCCUCAGCCUCCAGUCCCCAGAUGGCUGCCUCAGAGGGAUCAGUCUGUGUCCCUCGAGGCCCCUUUUCUCCAAGCAGCCUUGUCGUCAGCACCUCUUGAGAGGACGCAGCCUCUUUCCUAUCUGCAGACUAGGCUGCCUCGUGGGCUUCCAGAUGGCACACAACAAACAGUGUCAGAGAAGCACCAUGUCCUGAGCACCUACUGUGUGCCCUGCCAACUGUGAGGCGCCCAGUAGGCACCAUCUCCCCAGCACGUUGGCGCGAUGGGUAGAGGUGCUCUCUCUCCCCAGCAGAUCCAUUUCUCCGGCCUCGCUGCUCUGCUUGCUCCCCUGACAAACCUGGGGACACCCCUCUGCCACCCCCUAGAAAACAAAUCACUGGGCCGGGGAUUUAGCUCAGUGGUUUUGCCACCUGCUGUACAAGCACAAGGACUGGAGUUCGAUCCCCAGUUCCAAAAAAACAAAACAAAACAAAACAAAACAAAACCAAAAAAAUCACUAAGGGUUAAGUAGGAGCGAUGUGUGCUUGUCUGGAGUAGGAAUUUCUGAACUUUUCCAUGUGCUUGAGCUAUGUGUUGAUGCACUCACGCCAGCCCACGGAGCAUGAGGCUGACUUGGAAAAGGGAGGCAGCAUUGGAAACCAAGUUGGAGAUGGCGCAGCUCCCGGCCAUGCAGAUGUGGGGAUGGAGAAGAUGGGAGGCUGUGACUCACAGAGAGAUGCCAGCGUGAUCUGGAUGUUUCUGAAACUUUGAAGUCCCC
rnacentral:lncRNA from 1 species